rnacentral:lncRNA from 1 species
AUAAUUUUCUAAAUUUUCACCUAUAAAAAUGCUACAAAAGACACGAAAUCCAAAAAUUUGUAAACCGGUUUUAUUUCUCAAAGAUCUGAAUUCACAGAGAACAUCACUUGCUUUGAAAAUCCCUCAAAUAUCCAAUACUGAUCCAAAUGAUACAAAAUCACCUCUCAAAAAUCCCUCCACAAGUCUUCUCUCUAAUUCAGCUCUCCGAUCUUCCAAAGAACCCUUGAGUCGCUGUCAAAGUACAGUUUUGUGCCUCGGGGUCUGAUUUCGAUCCAGUUUCAUAACCGAUCCU